CCGAAGGUCGGGGUCCCAAGACCCCCCAGCAGAAAAAUGGCCAAAAAACGGGUGGGCUAUAGCCUUGGUGGGGGGAGUGGGCGAAGUUCGUCCGCGGGACUCGCAAUGGCACCAUACUUGGCGGGCGACCUCCGUGUGCCAAAAAUAGGCCACGGGCGCAGCCGCGCCCAAAAAUCAGCCCCCGAAGGUCGGGGUCCCAAGACCCCCCAGCGGAAAAAUGGCCAAAAAACGGUUGGGCUAUAGCCUUGGUGGGGGGCGUGGGCGAAGUUCGUCCGCGGGACUCGAAAUGGCACCAGACUUGGCGGGCGGCCUCCGUGUGCAAAAAAAUAGGCCACGGGCACAGCCGCGCCCAAAAAUCAGCCCCCAAAGGUCGGGGUCCCAAGACCCCCCAGCGGAAAAAUAACCAAAAAACGGGUGGGCUAUAGCCUUGGUGGGCGGCGUGGGCGAAGUUCGGGCGCGGGACUCAGAAUGGCCCCAGACUUGGCGGGCGGCCUCCGUGUGCAAAAAAUAGGCCAUGGGCACAGCCGCGCCCAAAAAUCAGCCCCCGAAGGUCGGGGUCCCAAGACCCCCCAGCGGAAAAUUGGCCAAAAAACGGGUGGGCUAUAGCCUUGGUGGGGGGCGUGGGCGAAGUUCGUCCGCCGGACUCGGAAUGGCACCAUACUUGGCGGGCGGCCUCCGUGUGCCAAAAACAGGCCACGGGCGCAGCCGCACCCAAAAAUCAGCCCCCGAAGGUCGGGGUCCCAAGACCCCCCAGCAGAAAAAUGGCCAAAAAACGGGUGGGCUAUAGCCUUGGUGGGGGGCGUGGGCGAAGUUCGUCCGCGGGACUCGGAAUGGCACAGACUUGGAGGGCGGCCUCCGUGUGCCAAAAAUAGGCCACGGGCACAGCCGCGCCCAAAAUCAGCCACCGAAGGUCGGGGUCCCAAGACCCCCCAGCGGAAAAAUGGCCAAAAAAUGGGUGGGCUAUAGCCUUGGUGGGGGGCGUGGGCGAAGUUUGUCCGCCGGACUCGGAAUGGCCCCAGACUUGGCGGGCGGCCUCCCUGUGCCAAAAAUAGGCCACGGGCACAGCCGCGCCCAAAAAUCAGCCCCCGAAGGUCAGGGUCCCAAGACCCCCCAGCGGAAAAUUGGCCAAAAAACGGGUGGGCUAUAGCCUUGGUUGGGGGCGUGGGCGAAGUUCGUCCGCCGGACUCGGAAUGGCACCAGACUUGGCGGGCGGCCACCGUGUGCCAAAAAUAGGCCACGGGCAUAGCCGCGCCCAAAAAUCAGCCCCCGAAGGUCGGGGUCCAAAGACCCCGCAGCGGAAAAAUGGCCAAAAAACGGGUGGGCUAUAGCCUUGGUGGGGGGCGUGGGCGAACUUCGUCCGCGGGACUCGGAAUGGUACCAUACCUGGCGGGUGGCCUCCGUGUGCCAAAAACAGGCCACGGGCACAGCUCCGCCGAAAAAUCAGCCCCCGAAGGUUGGGGUCCCAAGACCCCCCGGCGUAAAAAUGGCCAAAAAAACGGUGGGCUAUAGCCUUGGUGGGGGGCGUGGGCGAAGUUCGUCCGCGGGACUCGGAAUGGCCCCAGACUUGGCGAGCGGCCUCCGUGUGCCAAAAAUAGGCCACGGGCACAACCGCGCCCAAAAAUCAGCCCCCGAAGGUCGGGGUCCCAAGACCCCCCAGCGGAAAAAUUGCCAAAAAACGGGUGGGCUAUAGCCUUGGUGGGGGGCGUGGGCGAACUUCGUCCGCGGGACUCGGAAUGGUACCAUACCUGGCGGGUGGCCUCCGUGUGCCAAAAACAGGCCACGGGCACAGCUCCGCCGAAAAAUCAGCCCCCGAAGGUUGGGGUCCCAAGACCCCCCGGCGUAAAAAUGGCCAAAAAAACGGUGGGCUAUAGCCUUGGUGGGGGGCGUGGACGAAGUUCGUCCGCGGGACUCGGAAUGGCCCCAGACUUGGCGGGCGGCCUCCGUGUGCCAAAAAUAGGCCACGGGCACAGCCGCGCCCAAAAAUCAGCCCCCGAAGGUCGGGGUCCCAAGACCCCCCAGCGGAAAAAUGGCCAAAAAACGGGUGGGCUAUAGCCUUGGUGGGGGGAGUGGGCGAAGUUCGUCCGCGGGACUCGCAAUGGCACCAUACUUGGCGGGCGACCUCCGUGUGCCAAAAAUAGGCCACGGGCGCAGCCGCGCCCAAAAAUCAGCCGCCGAAGGUCGGGGUCCCAAGACCCCCCAGCGGAAAAAUGGCCAAAAACCGGGUGGGCUAUAGCCUUGGUGGGAGGCGUGGGCGAAGUUCAUCCGUGGUACUCGGAAUGGCACCAGACUUGGCGGGCGGCCUCCGUGUGCCAAAAAUAGGCCACGGGCACGGCCGCGCCCAAAAAUCAGCCCCCGAAGGUCGGGGUCCCAAGACCCCCCAGCGGAAAAAUAUCCAAAAAACGGGUGGGCUAUAGCCUUGGUGGGCGGCGUGGGCGAAGUUCGUCCGCGGGACUCAGAAUGGCCCCAGACUUGGCGGGCGGCCCCCGUGUGCCAAAAAUAGGCCACGGGCACAGCCGCGCCCAAAAAUCAGCCCCCGAAGGUCGGGGUCCCAAGACCCCCCAGCGGAAAAAUGGCCAAAAAAAGGGUGGGCUAUAGCCUUGGUGGGGGGCGUGGGCGAAGUUCGUCCGCGGGACUCGGAAUGGCACCAUACUUGGCGGGCGGCCUCCGUGUGCCAAAAACAGGCCACGGGCGCAGCCGCGUCCAAAAAUCAGCCCCCGAAGGUCGGGGUCCCAAGACCCCCCAGCGGAAAAAUGGCCAAAAAACGGGUGGGCUAUAGCCUUGGUGGGGGGCGUGGGCGAACUUCGUCCGCGGGACUCGGAAUG
rnacentral:lncRNA from 1 species